CAGGGGGGGGGGGGGUCCCUCAGCCUGAAUUGCAAGAAGGCACAGGCCAGGCCAAGGGACCCCACCGGUGCAUG
rnacentral:pre_miRNA from 1 species